rnacentral:rRNA from 1 species
GACGAACGCUGGCGGCGUGCUUAACACAUGCAAGUGGUGCGACGAACCAGGGCUUGCCCUGGGGCAAAGCCGCGAACGGGUGAGUAACACGUGGGUAAUCUGCCCCGAUGGCCGGGACAACCCGAGGGAAACUCGGGCUAAUACCGGAUGAUGAGCCUUGGCGUAAGCCUUGUCUCUAAAGGAAGCUUCGGCCUCCGCAUUGGGAGGAGCCCGCGGCCCAUUAGCUUGUUGGUGGGGUAAUGGCCACCAAGGCAACGAUGGGUAGCUGGUCUGAGAGGACGAUCAGCCACACUGGGACUGAGACACGGCCCAGACUCCUACGGGAGGCAGCAGUGGGGAAUCUUGCGCAAUGCGCGAAAGCGUGACGCAGCAACGCCGCGU